rnacentral:lncRNA from 1 species
UCGCGCGAGCUAUUGUAAUUGGACCUUGAAUGCUCAUUGGAGGAUUGUUGUGUAUAUCUAAAGAAGAUGUCCUCAUCACGUAUACAUUUCGUCAUGCACGUUGCAGGGACGAGCUUGUGGUUAUGCUGAAGCACAAACCACGUAAAAAGGCACGCCGCCCAUCCCCGCUGUUCUAGCACAAACCAUUGCUUUUGCAUCCAUCAUGCUUCGAUGUGUUUGACGUCUUGUGGUCAUCCCCAACCUUCGACUUGUGCUUCCCCCCCGAAUGAGCAAUCGAAUUCUUGUUCGUUCUUCCUUAUCCUGUUCUUUUUCAUAGGAACACCAUCAAGCUCGGCAUACACUCUGUAGAACUCAUAUGCAGCAUCCCAUGAAUCAAAGUUGACCUCAUGAACUACUGAAAAAAAUACUAGUCUAC